rnacentral:rRNA from 1 species
AGCGAACGCUGGCGGCAGGCCUAACACAUGCAAGUCGAACGAAGUCUUCGGACUUAGUGGCGGACGGGUGAGUAACACGUGGGAACGUGCCUUUAGGUUCGGAAUAACUCAGGGAAACUUGUGCUAAUACCGAAUGUGCCCUUCGGGGGAAAGAUUUAUCGCCUUUAGAGCGGCCCGCGUCUGAUUAGCUAGUUGGUGAGGUAAAGGCUCACCAAGGCUACGAUAAGUAGCUGGUCUGAGAGGAUGACCAGCCAAAUUGGGACUGGGACACGGCCCAAACUCCUACGGGAGGCAGCAGUGGGGAAUCUUGCGCAAUGGGCGAAAGCCUGACGCAGCCAUGCCGCGUGGAUGAUGAAGGUCUUAGGAUUGUAAAAUCCUUUCACCGGUGAAGAUAAUGACUGUAGCCGGAGAAAAAGCCCCGGCUAACUUCGUGCCAGCCGCCGCAGUAAUAC